AUGGGAAAGAUCCCAGACCUGGCUCGCUCCAGGCAGAAACAAUUACUCCUCCCCCAGACCCGGCAUAAGAGAAGGGCUGAUAGCGCCUAUGUGUCAAAGGAGAGUUAUUGCCGGGGAUCCUCUUCUCUGAGAUCUAAGGAUGAAUCAGAGAGUAGUAGUCUAUGCAAGAAGAGAAAGACGUCCCAGAUACAACCACCCAUUUCACUCAAAGAUAGUCUCGUUUGGCCUAAGGUGAAAGACGCGGAUUGCACAGAGAUUAACAUGAUAUAA